rnacentral:rRNA from 1 species
GACGAACGCUGGCGACGCGCUUAACACAUGCAAGUCGAACGGAAGGGCCUGCUUUCCCUUGUGGAUUGCGGGUACUCGAGUGGCGAACGGGUGAGUAACACGUGAGUGAUCUGCCCCCAACUUGGGUAUAAGCCUGGGAAACUGGGUCUAAUUCCCGAUAGGACUGCAGGGUGGUGCCUGUGGUGGAAAACGAUUUUCUAGUGGUUGGGGAUGAGCUCGCGGCCUAUCAGCUUGUUGGUGGGGUAAUGGCCUACCAAGGCGGCGACGGGUAGCCGGCCUGAGAGGGUGGACGGCCACAUUGGGACUGAGAUACGGCCCAGACUCCUACGGGAGGCAGCAGUGGGGAAUAUUGCACAAUGGGCGGAAGCCUGAUGCAGCGACGCCGCGUGGGGGAUGACGGCCUUCGGGUUGUAAACUCCUUUCGACCGCGAGGAAGCCACCUGGUUGGAAGGGUGGUGACGGUAGUGGUAGAAGAAGCACCGGCUAACUACGUG